rnacentral:lncRNA from 1 species
GUUUUAGCGUUAGAUGGGAUUUAUGGUUAGGUUUAGGUAGGGUUUUAGGGUUAGGUUUAGGCAGGGUUUACGGUUAGCAUGGUUUAGGGUUAGGUAAGGUUUAGGGUUAGAAAGGGUUUAGGGUUAGGUAGGGUUUUUUGGGUUAGGCAGGGUUUAGGGUUAGGAAGGGUUUAGGGUUAGAAAGGGUUUUGGGUUAGGUAGGGUUUAGGGUUAGGUAGGGUUUUGAGUUAGGUAGGGUUUAGGGUUAGGUAGGGUUUAGGCUUGGUAGGGCUUAGGGUUAGGUAGAGUUUAGGGUUUAGGGUUAGGUAGGGUUUAGGGUUUUGGGUUAGGUAGGGUUUAGGGUUAGGUAGGGUUUUGAGUUAGGUAGGGUUUAGGGUUAGGUAGGGUUUAGGCUUGGUAGGGCUUAGGGUUAGGUAGAGUUUAGGGUUUAGGGUUAGGUAGGGUUUUGAGUUAGGUAGGGUUUAGGGUUAGGUAGGGUUUAGGCUUGGUAGGGCUUAGGGUUAGGUAGAAUUUAGGGUUUAGGGUUAGGUAGGGUUUAGGGUUGGUAGGACGGUUUAGGUAGGGUUUAGGGUUAGGUAGAGUUUAGGGUUGGUAGGGCUUAGGGUUAGGUAGGGUUUAGGGUUAGGUAGGAUUUAGGGUUACAUAGGGUUUAGGGUUACGUAGGGUUUAGGGUUAGGUAGGGCUUAGAAUUGGGUAGAGUUUAGGGUUAGUAGGGUUUAGGGUUAGGUAGGGUUUAGGGUUAUGUAGGGUUUAGGGUUAGAAUGGUUUUACGGUUAGGUAGGGUUUAGGGUUAUGUAAGGUUAGGGUUAGGUAGGGUUUAGAAUUAGGUAGGGUUUAGGGUUAGCAUGGUUUAGGGUUAGAAGGGUUUAGGGUUAGUAGGGUUUAAUUUAGGGUUAGGUAGGGUUUAGGGUUAGGUAAGGUUUAGGGUUAGAAGGGGUUUAAAGUUAGGUAGGGUUUAGGGUUAGGUAAGGUUUAGGGUUAUGUAGGGUUAGGGUUAGGUAGGGUCUAGAAUUAGGUAGAGUUUAGGGUUAGGUAAGGUUUAGGGUUAUGUAGGGUUAGGGUUAGGUAGGGUCUAGAAUUAGGUAGGGUUUAGGGUUAGCAUGGUUUAGGGUUAGAAGGGUUUAGGGUUAGUAGGGUUUAAUUUAGGGUUAGGUAGGGUUUAGGGUUAGGUAAUGUUUAGGGUUAGAAGGGGUUUAGAGUUAGGUAGGGUUUAGGGUUAGGUAAGGUUUAGGGUUAGAAGGAGUUUAGGGUUAGGUAGGUUUUAGGGUUUAGGGUUAGGUAGGAUUUAGGGUUAGGAAGGAUUUCGAAUUAGGUAGGGUUUAGGGUUAUGUAGGGUUUAGGGUUAGGUUUUAGGUUGGGUUUAGGGUUAGGUAGGGUUUAGGGUUGGUAGGGCUUAGGGUUUAGGGGUUUAGGGUUACGUAGGGUUUUAGGGUUGGUAGGGCUUAGGGUUAGGUAGGGUUUAGGGCUAGGUAGGGUUUAGGGUUAGGUAGGGUUUAGGGUUACAUUGGGUUUAGGGCUACGUAGGGUUUAGGGUUAGGUAGGGUUUAGAAUUGGGUAGGGUUUAGGGUUAGGUAGGGUUUAGGGUUAUGUAGGGCUUAGGGUUAGAAUGGUUUUACGGCUAGGUAGGGUUUAGGUUAGGUAGGGUUUAGGUUUAUGUAGGGUUACGGUUAGGUAGGGUUUAGAAUUAGGUAGGGUUUAGGGUUAGCGUGGUUUAGGGUUAGAAGGGUUUAGGGUUAGUAGGGUUAAGUGGAUUUAGGGCUAGAAAGGGUUUAGGGUUAGGUAGGGUUUAGGGUUAGGUAAGGUUUAGGGUUAGAAGGGGUUUAGAGUUAGGUAGGGUUUAGGGUUAAAAAGGGUUUAGGGUUAGAUAGGGUUUAGGGUUAGGUAGGGUUUAGGGUUAGGUAAGGUUUCAAAUUAGGUAGGGUUUAGGGGUAGGUAGUGUUUAGGGUUAGGUAGGGUUUAGGGUUAGAAAGGGUUUAGGGUAAGUAGGGUUUAAGGUUAGUAGGGUUUAGGGUUAGUAGGGUUUCGGGUUAGGUAGGGUUAGGGUUAGAAAGUUCCUACUAAUCAUCAAACAAAGCUUCACUCUCCUUCUUCUUCUUUUUUGUCCUCUGAGAUUACUAGGGUUUAGGGUUAGGUAGGGUUUAGGGUAGGUAGGGUUUAGGGUUAGGUAGGGUUUAGGGUUAGGUUUUAGGUAGGGUUAAGGGUUAGGUUUUAAGUAGGGUUUAGGGUUAGGUAGGGUUGAGGGUUAAAUAAGGUUUAGGGUUAGGUAGGGUUUACGUUUCGGGUUAGGUUGGUUUACGGUUAGAUAGGUUUAGGGUUUAGGUAGUAUGAAGGAUUUAGGGAUUACGGUUAGAUUUAUGUAGAGUUUAGGGUUAGAUUGGUUAAGGUCUAGGUUUAGGUAGGAUUUAAGGUUUAGGUAGUAGAAAAGGUUUAGCGUUUGAUUUAGGUUGGGUUUAAGGUUUGCUUUAGAAUAAUGCUUAGGAUUAUAGGGUUUAAGGUUUGUUUGUUUUUUUGUUUAUGUAUUUAGUGCUGAGUUUUUCCGAUAAAAUUUAUAUUAAUAUUAUUGAUUCAUAAUUUUUCUUAAAAUGUUA